UACAUUUUAGUAUACGUUGUAUAAGAGUUUUUGAUACUCUAGGGGAUAGUUAGAUUCUAUCAAAUGUAA
rnacentral:tRNA from 1 species